UCCAUAAAAUGAGUAUGAUCCUGGCUCAGAAUGAAGGCUAUGAGUCUGCUUUAAUACAUGCGAGUCGAAUGGGUUAGACCCAUGGCGUACGGGUGAGUAAUGUACGACAAUUUAGUCUUGACUCCGGGAUAAUUCUAUCUCUGUGGGGAGAAGUUAACCAGAAAAAUACCGGAUUUAAAAGGUCCGCCGGUUAAGAAUAAUGUCGUAUAGUAUUAGGUAGUUGGUAAGGUUAGGCUUACCAAGCCGUUGAUGCUUAGCUGGUCUGGAAGGACGAUCAGCCACAUUGGGACUGAGACAAGGCCCAGGUUUCUUUUGAGGGCAGCAGUAGGGAAUAUUGGACAAUGAGCGAAAGCUUGAUCCAGCAAGACUCGGUGGGGGAUUGAAGGCUUCGGUUGUAAACCUCUUUUUUAGUGUAAGAUUAUGACAUUAAGCUAAGAAUAAGUCCCGACUAACUUCGUGCCAGCAGUCGCGGUAAUACGGAGGGGGCAAGCCUUAUUCAAAAUAACUGGGCGUAAAGCGUUCGUAGGUGGUCUUUUGUCUGUUUUUUGUUAAAUCUUGGGGCUUAACCUCAAAAAAGCAAGGAAAACAUUUAGACUUGAGUCUAACAGAGGAGAAUGGAAUGCCCUAAUUAGGGGUAGAAUCCUUAGAAGUGGGGUGGAACAUCGUAAUGGCGAAAGCGAUUCUCUUGUUUAGUACUGACGCUGAGGUACGAAAGCAUAGGUAGCGAGCAGGAUUUGAUACCCUGGUAGUCUAUGCCGUCAACUAUGAGUGCUAAUUCUUAGAUUUUUUAGGAAACAAACAGCUAAGGCUUUAAGCAUUCCGCCUGAAGAGUACGAGCGCAAGCUUAAAAAUCAAGGGAAUUGGCGGGGGUCCAAACAAGUGGUGGAGCAUGUGGUUUAAUGCGAUGAUACGCGCGUAACCUUACCAGUUUUUGUAAGUUUGUCAUCUUUAUAGAAAUAUAAAAGAUUUUGGAACUUUCAGGUGUUGCAUGGCCGUCGUCAGCUCGUGUCGUGAGAUGUUAGGUUAAUUCCUUAGGACGAGCGAAACCCCUAUUUGGUUAGUGUUUUAGCGCUUAAUAAAAACCGAUUAAAUACUGCAAGUCUAGGGCUUGAGGAAGGUGGGGAUGAGGUCAGGUCUUCAUGGCCCUUAUAAACUGGGCUACACACGUGCUACAAUGGAAAAGACAAAAAGUUGCAACGGUGCAAAUCAGAGCCAAUCUUUAAACUUUUUCUUAGUUCGGAUUGGGGGCUGCAAUUCGCCCCCAUGAAGCUGGAAUCACUAGUAAUCGCGUAUUAGAAUGCCGCGGUGAAUACGUCACUGGGCCUUGCACACACCGCCCGUCACAUCCUGGAAGUUUAUCUUGCUUGAAGAUUGUGGGUUAAUCUUUCUUUUUAUUGUUGAUGAGGAAGAGAUUCUUUGUAUAUAUUUUUAAAAUUAAAGAAGUCCCCUCUUAAAAGAAAGAUAAAUGACUGGGAUGAAGUCGUAACAAGGUAGUCGUAGGGGAACCUGCGUCUGGUAACAACAUAUAU
rnacentral:rRNA from 1 species